UACGUAUGGAGCAAGCGUUAUCCGGAUUUACUGGGUGUAAAGGGAGCGUAGGCGGCUCUGUAAGUCUGAUGUGAAAAUUUGGGGCUCAACCCCAAACGUGCAUUGGAAACUGCAGGGCUUGAGUGCCGGAGAGGCAGGCGGAAUUCCUAGAGUAGCGGUGAAAUGCGUAGAUAUUAGGAGGAACACCAGUGGCGAAGGCGGCCUGCUGGACGGUAACUGACGCUGAGGCUCGAAAGCGUGGGGAGCAAACAGG
rnacentral:rRNA from 1 species